rnacentral:rRNA from 1 species
UUGCUUUCUUUGCUGGCGACCGGCGUACGGGUGAGUAACACGUAUCCAACCUGCCCUUUACUCGGGGAUAGCCUUUCGAAAGAAAGAUUAAUACCCGAUAGCAUAAUGAUUCCGCAUGGUUUCAUUAUUAAAGGAUUCCGGUAAAGGAUGGGGAUGCGUUCCAUUAGGUUGUUGGUGAGGUAACGGCCCACCAAGCCUUCGAUGGAUAGGGGUUCUGAGAGGAAGGUCCCCCACAUUGGAACUGAGACACGGUCCAA